UUUCUGAAAAUAUAUAAUUAGGGCAUCAUUAUGUCUUAUUGCCCCGGGCAACAUAUUUCUUUGGACCGGCCCUGGGUCCUUGCAUUGCAAUUGCCUAUUUAUCGGUUCUAAAGGACUGUGAGAUUCAUUGCUUUCAUGAAGGAUUGGAAGUCAAACGACUUGGUGGUCUCCAUGUCAUUGGGACAUCUUUGCAUGAGUCCCGAAGAAUUGAUAAUCAGCUUCGUGGCAGAGCAGGAAGGCAAGGAGAUCCUGGAUCAACACGCUUCAUGGUCAGGUAAGUUCAUUUAAAUGAUUUUUAUAAAGUUUAAAGUCAAUCCUUUCAUCUGGACAAAAUUCUUCAUGUUAAAUUACGUAAUAGUCCUUGGAGUAGUUGACAUGAACAAUUUUUUUUGUUAGAAUGAUUCCAUAUAUAUGUGCAAGCAAGCACAUGCCUUGUGAAAAAGGGAAAUCUAUUCUAGUCAUUCUCUUUAACAAGGCAACCUUAAAGUUGAUUUUUUAAACCUGAUGUUUAAAACUACAUUGAGUGUGAGAUAGAAGUUUAUGCAGAGAAGGAAAAAGAUAGAAGUUUUUGAGGAUGUUGCUGAUGAAAAAGAUAGAGGUUCUUUAGGAUGCUGCUAAUGAAGUUUAUGCAGAGAAGGAAAAAGAUAGAAGUUUGUUGGCACAUAGUAAGCUAGAUAAUUAAUGCAAUUGUAUAUAAAUGAGUUCAUUUUUUUAUAACAUUUACUCACUAUUGGAAUAAUUAUUUGUAUUUGACAUAUUAGUGAAAUGAAUUAUAUUUGUUAUUUAUGGUA